UACGUAGGGGGCAAGCGUUGUCCGGAAUCAUUGGGCGUAAAGAGCGUGUAGGCGGCCCGAUAAGUCCGCUGUGAAAGUCCAGGGCUCAACCCUGGAAUGCCGGUGGAUACUGUCGGGCUCGAAUCCGGAAGAGGUGAGUGGAAUUCCUGGUGUAGCGGUGAAAUGCGCAGAUAUCAGGAGGAACACCAAUGGCGAAGGCAGCUCACUGGGACGGUAUUGACGCUAAGGCGCGAAAGCGUGGGGAGCGAACAGG
rnacentral:rRNA from 1 species